rnacentral:lncRNA from 1 species
CCUUCCUGGCCAGAAUGGAGCCUCUUCUCUCUUCACCACCACUGUCGGCGAACUCCCAGCCAAGUCUCUAGUCGUUUGGCGGAUUAUCGAUCGGGUUCCCCAAACACAAGCUUUGGCUAAUGAUCCCACGAAACUACACCAUGAGCUUCCUGCCCCGCUGAGUGAGGGCUGCGCUGGUGCAGGAAGCCGCGAGGUGGUUAGAGGGAAGAGAAGAAACAGAAGGGGCUUAGUUGACCUUGAUAAGGUGCUUCCGAGCUGGGAUGAGAGGAAGGGAAACCUUACAUUAUGCUAUGAAGAGUAGUAAUAAUAGCAGCUCUUAUUUCCUGAACCAGUACCCCCGUGUCAGCUUUGUACAAAAAGCGUUUGUUCACAAAGCGUUGCACGCUCACCUCACUUAAUUGCCACAAACCUCUGCGAAGGGGAAAAGCGUUCAUGCCCAUUUUACACGUGACAAAGCUGAGACUUAGAAAGUUGUCUAUCUGAUGUCUCACAAAACGUCUAAGUGCCCAGAAAAUCUUUGAACACAGAUCUGUGCCCAUAGCCCUCUGGAAAGAUUCUUAAAAAGCACCCAUUCCUCACUAAAACAGCUUAGUAUAGCAUCACAUGGCCUGAACAUCCCUGUCCUGGGGCUUUUUCCAGAGACCUGGUGAGUGGCUGUCCUGCCUUCACUGCCCACAUGCCCACACUCUCACCUACUCAACAUGCUUUGAAUACCAGGGUGUAAUCUGUGCUCACUACCAGGUAAGGCCGCUGUGGCCCUUUCAGAGUCAUUCCGGGGACACAACGAGACAUGAAUGGACAUAGUCAGUCCAUUAACAAUUCUUUUGCAGAGCAGAAGUUUUUAAUUUUAAUGACAUUCUGUCAAUAUAUCCCCUAAUGAAGAAGUUGAAGGAGAGAACCACUUACAGAGAGUGAUGAGAGAACUCUGGAUCAGGACAUACCAUAUGCAUGUGUGUGAUCAUGUGCAGGUGUGCAUGUGAGCAUAUGACUACAUAUUCUCCUCUGUGUAUCCAUGAAACACAUUCCACAAUGGGUUUCUGAAGGUUGGGCUCUCCGGAUGGAUCUGGGGUCCACUGUAAGACCCAGCUAAGAGUUUCACAGUCACUGCCCACUCUCAAAGAAGUUAGUGUAUGUCCCCCUUAGAAACUUCCUUACAGCCUUCACGAAAAUUAACUCAAAGUUUAUUGUAGACCUAAAUGAAAAAUGAGUAUCUAUAAAACUUCUAAAAGAUAAUGUAGGAGAAAAUCGUGAUGACUUUAAGUUUGGUGAUGACUUACUAGAUACAACACCAAAAGAACAAUGCUUGAAAGAAGCACUUGAUAAGUUCUGUGUCAUUAAAAUUAAAAACUUCUGCUCUGCAAAAGAUUUGUCAAGAGAAUGAGAAUACAAGCUACAGACUGGGAGAACAUAUUUGCAGGGGACAUACCUGAUAAAGGACUUACAUUCAAAAUACACAAAAAAACUGUUAAAACUCAACAAUAGAAAACAACCCAAUUAAAGAAUGGGCAAGCAAUCUGAGCAGACACCUCACCAAAGAAAAUAUACACAUGGCAAAUAAGCAUAAGGAAAGAUGCUCCAUAUAAUAUGUCAGUAGCCAUUUCAAAUUGAAACAAUAAUGAUGUACCACUACCCACCUAUUAGAGUGGCUAAAA